rnacentral:tRNA from 1 species
GGGCUAUAGCGCAGCUGGUAGCGCAUCUGCUUUGCAAGCAGAGGGUCGCCGGUUCGAACCCGGCUAGCUCCA